rnacentral:rRNA from 1 species
GAUGAACGCUAGCGGCAGGCUUAAUACAUGCAAGUCGAGGGGCAGCAGCUUUAUAGCAAUAUAGAGGCUGGCGACCGGCAAACGGGUGAGGAACACGUACACAACCUUUCUGUAAGAGGGGGAUAGCCCAUAGAAAUGGGGAUGAAUACCCCGUAACAUAGCGGUGUGGCCUCACACUGUUAGUAGAGUUUCGACGCUUGAAGAUGGGUGUGCGGCUGAUUAGGUAGUUGGCGGGGUAAAGGCCCACCAAGCCUUCGAUCAGUAGCUGAUGUGAGAGCAUGAUCAGCCACACGGGCACUGAGACACGGGCCCGACUCCUACGGGAGGCAGCAGUAAGGAAUAUUGGUCAAUGGACGCAAGUCUGAACCAGCCAUGCCGCGUGAAGGAUGAAGGUCCUCUGGAUUGUAAACUUCUUUUAUAGGGGGCGAAAAAAGGGAAUUCUUUCUCACUUGACAGUACCCUAUGAAUAAGCACCGGCUAACUCCGUGCCAGCCGCCGCCGUAA